rnacentral:rRNA from 1 species
CCUACGGGAGGCAGCAGUGAGGAAUAUUGGUCAAUGGGCGAGAGCCUGAACCAGCCAAGUCGCGUGAGGGAGUACUGCCCUAUGGGUUGUAAACCUCUUUUGUCGGGGAGCAAAAGCCGGACGUCUCCGGCUGUUAGAUUACCCGAAGAAAAAUCAUCGGCUAACUCCGUGCCAGCAGCCGCGGUAAUACGGAGGAUGCGAGCGUUAUCCGGAUUUAUUGGGUUUAAAGGGUGCACAGGCGGAUUUUUAAGUCAGCGGUCAAAUCGUGGGGCUCAACCCCAUCCAGCCGUUGAAACUGGGGAUCUAGAGUGUGCGAGAGGUAUGCGGAAUGCGUGGUGUAGCGGUGAAAUGCAUAGAUAUCACGCAGAACCCCGAUUGCGAAGGCAGCAUACCGGUGCACAACUGACGCUCAGGCACGAAAGCGUGGGUAUCGAACAGGAUUAGAUACCCUUGUAGUC